rnacentral:rRNA from 1 species
AUUCCCCUAGUAACUGCGAGUGAAGCGGGAAAAGCUCAAAUUUAAAAUCUGGUGGCCUUUGGCCAUCCGAGUUGUAAUCUAGAGAAGCGUCUUCCGCGCCGGACCGUGCACAAGUCUCCUGGAAUGGAGCGUCAUAGAGGGUGAGAAUCCCGUCUUUGGCACGGACGCACCGGGGCUAUGUGAUGCGCUCUCGAAGAGUCGAGUUGUUUGGGAAUGCAGCUCAAAAUGGGUGGUGAACUCCAUCUAAAGCUAAAUAUUGGCGAGAGACCGAUAGCGAACAAGUACCGUGAGGGAAAGAUGAAAAGCACUUUGGAAAGAGAGUGAAACAGUACGUGAAAUUGUUGAAAGGGAAACGCUUGAAGUCAGUCGCGUCGACCGAGACUCAGCCUUGCCACGGCUUGGUGUAUUUCUCGGCCGACGGGUCAGCGUCGAUUUUGCCCCUCGGAUAAUGGCAAGGGAAAGGUGGCACCUUUACGGGUGUGUUAUAGUCUCCUGUCGCAUGCGAGGGUCGGGAUCGAGGAACGCAGCACGCGCCCUUGGGUGCCGGGGCCUUUUGGCUCACGCGACGUGCUUAGGAUGCUGGCGUAAUGGCUUUAAACGACCCGUCUUGAAACACGGACCAAGGAGUCCAACAUGCCCGCGAGUGUUCGGGUGGAAAACCCGUGCGCGAAAUGAAAGUGAAAGUUGGGACCUCUGUCGUGGAGGGCACCGACGCCCGGACCAGACCUUCUGUGACGGAUCUGCGGUAGAGCGUGCAUGUUGGGACCCGAAAGAUGGUGAACUAUGCCUGAAUAGGGUGAAGCCAGAGGAAACUCUGGUGGAGGCUCGUAGCGAUUCUGACGUGCAAAUCGAUCGUCAAAUUUGGGUAUAGGGGCGAAAGAC